GGCAACCCUAAUCAUGGCCGUGUAGGGCUCAAACGGUCUCUACGGAAUUAACUUCUGAAUUUGCUAACCGGUCGGAGCUCUCUCUGUGUCUCUCUCUUUCCGAACCGUAUUGUCGACGAUACCCACGCACCAAUUCUCUCUUUCUCUCUCUCCGAAAGGAAAAAAAGAAGAGAAAGCAGAAUAGAAAAAAGCCAUUUUUGUUUUGUUUACGUUUUUCAACCGUUUGCCUGCACGGAUUGAAUUUUCUUGGGUUUUCUAUGUGCGGUUAGAAUUCACACGGCUUCGACGUAGGUUUUUUUUUAUGGUUUUGUUGGAAUUUGAAGAGGUUGGUGAAUAAUCACCGUGUUAGGUCUUGAUUCCAAGGUGAUUGGGCCUUUGCAUUGUAUUUGGUCCGGUUGUAAUUGAUUACUGAAUACCAUAUUGAUCGGGUUUUCCACUUGAGUGCUGGGUUUGCGUUAUAUUAUGAUAAAUUUCUUGGAUGUGAGAUGGCCGGUUCGUGUGAAAAUUUGGCUAUAAUUGAGAAACCGUUAUGCAGUUCAGUUAUUGAGCAGAAAUUGAGCUUGGAGUUUUCGUUGCCAUCCAUCUCUGAUCAGCGGUCCUGCUCGGAGGUCGCUUUCAGCUUGUUUGAGUCUAAGGUGGACCCCACGAAUGCUUUGAAUGGGUGUCUGAACUUGUCCAAGGUCGACGAUACUGGUUGCAUGAGCUCUGGCGAGGUUACAGACUAUGUGGAGGCUGUUACCGUUGAUAAAGAUGGAUUGUUGGCUGAGGGUCAGAAUGUGAGCGAUUUGAUGCUGGAGAAAAUGCCGGGUAGCGUAUGCAGGUUCAGUAGGGAGUGUUUGAAUGAGAUCCAGAGUCAGGAUGAUGCUUGUAAUUUAGAAACUGGUGCCUUGUGCUUGGAGAACAGAGGAUCUCAAGGUGAGUAUGACCAUAACACACCCUCGGGAUCUCUUCAGAUGAUUGUUUCGCUGGGGAAUUGUGUUCAACCUGAUAACAUCGAUGAUAAGAGUGCCACCAGUUCUUCUCCAGAAGGAGUCGAAGAGGUUGGUGAUGAGAAAAGUGGUGUUAUAGUUGGGUUAGAGACUGAUAAUUGUAACCAAAUAUCUUCUUUACAGUGUUGUGAAGUGCCCUUGGAAUUAAUAACAAUGACUGGUUUGCCAAGCAAUUAUGGCCAGCAGCAGGAGCAGGAGAACAUUAAGAGCACUGGUGAUCUUUCUUUGGAGGUUGUGGAUGGGAAAAGUGAUUAUUCAGUGGGGAGAGAAGCUGACGUUCACAACCUGAUUUCACCUUUGGAAGGUGGGGAAAUGCCUUUGAAAGUUUUACAUGCUGGUGACUUAUUGAUCAACUAUGAGCAGAGUGAUCAGAAGGAUGAUAAGAUUGUUCACGGUCUCUCUGAAGAACAUGCUAAUGGGAUCCUUCAAACAGAAACCAAUCUCGAUACAUGCGCCCAUAUAUUGACUUCAGUGGGCCACCAGAGGGGUUUGGAAAAUGUACACAUGUCUGAAUCACUCAAUAUCCCUGCCCAAAAAAAUGAGGGGCAGAAUGGUAACGAUGUUGAUGGUACCUGUGCAGAAAGGAUUUCAAAGCUUGUGGAAGAGAAAAGUGAUAUGACAACUGUUUCAAGUGUUGAACCUAGUGCUGCCAAUGUAGCUCAUAACUAUACUUUUGAGAAAUCAGUUUCUCCCGAGUCUUGUCAACAAUUUAGUAUUGCCAAUUCUAAUACUUCUAAGGAUAUGCCAUAUGAGAAUAUUAUUACUUCUAUUAAUUCUAGCAGUGUGGCUGAAUGUUCUGAACAUACAGAUAAUGAAGAAAAAGAUAACGUGGGUGUUGGUUGUGUUUAUGAAAUCAAAUGUCCUGAAAUUGUGUCUUCAUCUUCUCGAAGCAAUGGCCGGAGAAGUAAAUCUAGCCAGAAGACUAGUAAAAAGAGGGCCGAAAAGAAAUGCAAGAACACAUCCCAUGUGCUACACUCACGUGGAAGUAUCAGAAUUGUUUCGAAGGCUGCACGAAUGAAAAGAAGCUCUUUCUCAAAACCAGCUCGUUCUUCCAUCUGGGGAUCACUAGAGAAUAUUACACAGUUUUUUGAACAGAGUAAUGGGAUUUAUAGUGUCAGUCAAGUAAAGAAUCAAGGAGGGAGAAAAGCAAGGGGUGGGCGAAGAAGUGGAAAGCAGGCCAAGAUACGGGCAAGUGGAAGCUCACGAGUUUCAAGGGGAAAUCAUUGUGUUUCAUCUGGUCGUGUUCGUUUGAAGGUUAAAAUCGGGAAAGUAGCAGGUCAAAGUUAUCUGAGCAAUAUGGAUCCAAAUUUUCUUGAUGCCUCAGCAUCUGCAAAUACUGCCAUUAGUGAUUGUGGGACUGAUUUAUUUUCUGCAGCAGGUUUAGAACUUAUGAAAUUCGCCAAUGGUGUUGAAGAUAGUUCACGGGAAGAUGGACAACUCACCAAUAAAGACUCUGAAAACACCAAUAAUAUCGGUAAGGCAGCUGGUGAUGCAGAUGAUUAUCUUGGGGUUCCCUCCAAUGUAGUGGUCAAUACAUUGGGAGGGGCAAUUAAGAAUAGGUGUACAGAUUCUGGAACUUCACCUGAUUCUGAAGUGAUCAAUUUGACCCCAGAUAACCAAGUUAGUGCAAUACAGCAAGCAGAUUUGCAUGAUGCUCUUUUGACAUCCUCCAAAGAUGUUUCUGCCCAAGGACAUCAUGCUAGCACUAAGAGGGGAAAGAAGAAGAAGCUCCCUCGUUCACGUAACUGUGUUCUGGAAGGUGGAUCACCUGGUCCAGUUAGCAUAAGCAAAGCAAAACUGUCUAAGAAUCAAGGAUGCACACCACUUGUGGCUGAUGGGAUUUUCUCUGGAGAGAUUCCCACUUCACUAACUAAUGUGAAUUCUUCAAGCAACUCAUCUAGCAACAAGGAAUUGCCUAUGGAACCUUUGGUUUUUUCAAGAGAGACAGAACAUGGAAUACUUGGAGAGACUUUGAAAGAGGAAAGUUCUGUGGAAGCUAAAACAUAUUCCAACCUCUGUGCUGAUGUUGAAUUGUCCGAGUCACAUAAUUCCAAGAAUUUACAUCCUUCAAUGAAAGCAAUUGGGCGUAAGCAUCCAAAAUCUUGUAAAGUAAGUAAGGGCAGGUCCAAAGCCUCUGAAUCAGAAGGCAAGAGGGGGAAUUCGCGUAGACAGAAGAGGGAGAAGCAGUCAAGGUCUGUUAACAAGUGCAAAGUCAAGGAGAAAGAUGCUUGUAAUCAAAUCAUGCACAAAGGGGAAAGUCACCCAGAAACUGGAAGUCAUGAUGUUGAUGGCAUUGAAAAAACCAACGCUGAUGACAAUACUGCAGUCACGGAUGAAUCUAACUUGAACAUGGUACUGGGUGGCUUAGAGAAUCAGUAUCCACCCCCGCGUAAGGCUUGGGUGCUGUGUGAUGAGUGUCAUAAAUGGCGCCGUAUACCAGCAAUGCUUGCAGAUUUAAUUGAUAAAACAAAUUGCACAUGGACCUGUAAGGACAACAUGGAUAUAGCCUUUGCUGAUUGCUCAAUACCUCAAGAGAAGUCCAAUGCAGAGAUCAAUGUAGAGUUGGAUAUAUCUGAUGCAUCUGGUGAAGAAGAUGUUAAUGAUGCCCGCUUAAAUUAUAAGGCAUUGGAAUGUAAGCGUUCAACAGGUUACCAAGAAUCAACUUUUAAGUGUAUUUCUAAUAAUGAGUUUUUGCAUCGUAAACGUAAAACCCAGACUAUUGAUGAGAUAAUGGUUUGCCAUUGCAAACCAGCUUCAAAUGAGCAGUUGGGUUGUGGAGAUGAAUGUCUGAACCGAAUGCUUAAUAUUGAAUGCGUGCAAGGCACCUGUCCAUGUGGAGACCUCUGUUCAAAUCAACAAUUCCAGAAACAGAAGUAUGCUAAACUGGAAUGGUUUCGUAGUGGGAAGAAGGGUUAUGGGCUAAAGUUGCUAGAAAAUAUAUCCAAAGGGCAUUUUCUUAUCGAAUAUGUUGGAGAGGUGCUUGAUAUGCAUGCUUAUGAAGCACGGCAAAAAGAGUAUGCGUUGAAGGGUCAUAGACAUUUCUAUUUCAUGACAUUGAAUGGCAGUGAGGUAAUAGAUGCAUGUGCAAAAGGAAAUUUGGGCCGUUUCAUAAACCAUAGUUGUGAUCCUAAUUGCCGUACUGAAAAGUGGAUGGUGAAUGGAGAAAUUUGUAUCGGACUAUUUGCAUUAAGGGAUAUUAAGAAGGGUGAAGAGGUCACAUUUGACUACAACUAUGUCAGGGUUUUUGGGGCUGCUGCCAAAAGGUGUUACUGUGGUGCACCUCAAUGUCGGGGUUAUAUAGGCGGUGAUCUGCUUAGUUCUGAAGUAAUUGUUCAAGGUGAUUCAGAUGAGGAAUUUCCUGAACCUGUGAUGCUUCUUAAAGAUGGUGAACGUGGAGAUAGCCUGGAUGAUAUGAUGCCUACGGUCAGGCCCUUCGGUUGUGCUGAGAUUCGAACUGCAAAGAAUACAUUAAAAUCUAGACAUGGAAUAGAUAAGUGCACAACUGGUGGUAGGCACUUGGAGAGUACCAUAGGAAAAGAGGACCCUAUAAAUCAAUCUGCUGCUUCCUACUUACAUAGCCUGUUGGAACUGGAGGACUCAAAGAGACGAUUCCCAUCUUUGGAAGUAGAAAUUUUCCAUCAAACAGAUGAUUUAACAAUCAAAUCACUGCCAGAGGCUUCCAUAGAAGAGGAGACUACGAAUAAAACCUCAUCCAAUGCUAAUAGAUUAAAGAUAGUUUCUCCAACUUUAGCUCAUAGCAAAUCGCUAUCUGAUGUCACUAAUGCUAGCAUGAAAUCCACGUCUGACACAGUUCAAGACAAGAGGGUUUCAUCCAAAUCACAGUCUCAGAUGAGAGUUUCUCGUUCAUCUAGUUCUGUUAAAAAAGGAAGGGCGAGUUGUAAUCCUCUAAAUACUAGCAAAGUUCAAGUGACUGCCAACAAAUCUCAACCAUUGCUUUCUAAACCCAAAAGAUCUUUGGCAAGUUCUCCUAAUGGCCGUUCUGAAGCAGUGGAAGAGAAACUUAAUGAGUUGCUGGAUGCUGAGGGAGGGAUUAGUAAACGAAAGGAUGCCACUAAAGGCUAUUUGAAGCUUCUGUUUCUCACUGCAGCAUCAGGCGACAGUGGCAAUGGCGAAGCAAUUCAGAGUAAUCGAGAUCUUUCAAUGAUCCUUGAUGCUCUUCUGAAAACAAAAUCGCGAGCAGUAUUGAUUGAUAUAAUUAACAAAAACGGGUUGCAGAUGCUGCACAACAUAAUGAAGCGGUACAGGGGGGACUUCAAAAAGAUACCUAUCCUCCGGAAACUUCUCAAGGUCUUAGAGUAUUUGGCAGUGAGGGAGAUACUAACAGGAGAACAUAUUAAUGGAGGUCCUCCGUGUCCUGGAAAGGAGAGCUUUAGGGAGUCAAUAUUGUCACUGACAGAGCAUGAUGACAAACAGGUUCAUCAAAUUGCACGGAACUUCCGAGAUAAGUGGAUUCCCAGACCUGUUAGAAAGCUUAGCUACGUGGACAGAGAUGAUGGGAGGAUGGAGAUUCGCAGGGGUUCAAACUGCGAUAGAUUUUUGUUAUCACAUAACUAUUGGCGUGAUCAAGAACAUGCAAGACCUACGGAAGCAAUUGAUUGUGUCAGGCAGUCAAUGCUUGCAAUGACCUCGUAUGAUACUGGUAUCCCCGAGGGUUGCUCUGCUCCUUGUAUAGGUAGUUGCCUGACUAGUGAGACUAAAACUCGUAAACGUAAAAGCCGAUGGGAUCAGCCAGCAGAGACUAACCAAGAUACAAGAUCUCAGCACAAGGAACAGAAGAUAGACUCUACAUCGCCACCUAAAAUUGAAUCUGGGCCAUUGCAAAGGGGUGUUGAAGAGGCACAGGAUCCUAUAGACAUGGUAAGCAGAAAGGGAGCUAAUUGUGCUGGCUCUGUUCACAAUCGCUCUCAGCAAGAUGCAGCUAUCAGUGCUGACGAUGAAAGGCAGAACAUCCCUGAGGAUAUUCCCCCCGGGUUUUCAUCUCCCCAAGCUCUGGGUUUAUCUCAUGCUUCUUCAGCUGUGACAGAUCUCCCUCAACAUAAUGUUUGCGAUAUCAAGCCUCCUGUAGAUGCAAUUAUUGGCCAGCCACAAGGGAAAUUCAAUUCUCGUUUGCCUGUCUCAUAUGGAAUGCCAUUGUCAAUCAUACAUCAUUUUGGCACAAUCCAGGCAGAAAGCAUAGAUGGUUGGUUUAUUGCUCCCGGCAUGCCUUUCCAUCCUUUUCCUCCAUUGCCUCCAUAUCCCAGGGAUAGCAAAAACUGUCCACCUUCUCAUGCUCCCAAUCCUAUGACAAUUAUUCAACCUGCAGAAGGACAAAGGGAUAGCCAUUGCUGCGACCCUUGUCACAUGGAUGAAACCCCUAAAUACUUGGACGGUCCAUGUGCAAAUAGCAACCAGCCAUUUAAGCGAGCAAGGGAAUCCUCAUAUGACUUGGGAAGGAGGUAUUUCAAGCAGGAGAAAUGGAAUGCUACAAAAGUGGGCCCCCCAUGGCUUAGGAAAAGGAAUGCGUGGGGACUCAUGGGAGACAACUCAAGAGGUGUCUCCAGCAGCAUAGGUAUAGGAAAACUAGCAAAUGAGGCUACAAGUUCAUAUUUAUCAGAGGAAUUAAGCUCUAGAGUAGAAAAAGCUGGCAAUAAUUUUUAUCAGCAUUCCCAGCACCAAAAUCACAAUUGAUUUAUAGGAGAAACUUGGAAGAGCUACUGGAUUUCUUCUUCUAUACUUUCCAGUCUCAAUUCUUUUGUUUCCGUGUUUAUAUCUAAUGAAAAUUUUAUUCAAUUUCAGAAUUCUAGUCCUCUUAGUCAAGUUGUAUAACAAUACCCAGGCAAAAGAGCUACUUCCAUUCCAGUACUGAAUAUUGAACUAUCAAGUCCACGCCUCAAGGAGAACAAUUUUGUGUGCUGCUGGGGCUUCUGCUUUGAUUCUAUAUGUUUACAGAAGCUACACAAGAAUUUUAAUACCAGAUGGAAUUGAGCGUUAUAAAUUAUGACGCCCCAUUUCAAUGUUCGUUUGUUAUUAUUGUAAUGAGAAAUUGGAUUCAUCCAUGAUUUGUCAUAGCCAUGUGUAUGAUAUAGCCAAGACUAAUUUAGCUCACACCUUUAAUACUUUUGUUUAGAGCUCAACUCAAAGCAUCGAGCCUAACGAGUAAUGCUAUGUACCAUACCACCAUCACACUUUCAUCUCAUUAUGUAUGAUGUAUAUUUAUCUAUUCAAUAAAAGAUCAUCCAAUGGUGAUAAAUGUGUCACAUCUUA